rnacentral:rRNA from 1 species
UACGUAGGGGGCUAGCGUUGUCCGGAAUCAUUGGGCGUAAAGAGCGUGUAGGCGGCCCGGUAAGUCCGCUGUGAAAGUCGGGGGCUCAACCCUCGAAUGCCGGUGGAUACUGUCGGGCUAGAGUGCGGAAGAGGCGAGUGGAAUUCCUGGUGUAGCGGUGAAAUGCGCAGAUAUCAGGAGGAACACCGAUUGCGAAGGCAGCUCGCUGGGACGUAACUGACGCUGAGGCGCGAAGGCCAGGGGAGCAAACGGG